GGAUAAAUGGCUGAGUGGUCGAAAGUGUCUGCCUUGAAAGCAGGUGUACUAAUAAGUACCGGGGGUUCGAAUCCCUCUUUAUCCG
rnacentral:tRNA from 1 species